GAUGAGUAGGGCGGGACACGUGGUAUCCUGUCUGAAUAUGGGGGGACCAUCCUCCAAGGCUAAAUACUCCUGACUGACCGAUAGUGAACCAGUACCGUGAGGGAAAGGCGAAAAGAACCCCGGCGAGGGGAGUGAAAAAGAACCUGAAACCGUGUACGUACAAGCAGUGGGAGCACGCUUAGGCGUGUGACUGCGUACCUUUUGUAUAAUGGGUCAGCGACUUAUAUUCUGUAGCAAGGUUAACCGAAUAGGGGAGCCGAAGGGAAACCGAGUCUUAACUGGGCGUUAAGUUGCAGGGUAUAGACCCGAAACCCGGUGAUCUAGCCAUGGGCAGGUUGAAGGUUGGGUAACACUAACUGGAGGACCGAACCGACUAAUGUUGAAAAAUUAGCGGAUGACUUGUGGCUGGGGGUGAAAGGCCAAUCAAACCGGGAGAUAGCUGGUUCUCCCCGAAAGCUAUUUAGGUAGCGCCUCGUGAAUUCAUCUCCGGGGGUAGAGCACUGUUUCGGCAAGGGGGUCAUCCCGA
rnacentral:rRNA from 1 species